AAAGGUACUCAAGGGCGCUAAAUGGAUGCCUAGACGUAUAUUACCGAAGAAGGACGUGGAAGACUGCGAUAAGCCUCGGGAAGCUGUCAACAAGCUUUGAUCCGGGGAUUUCCGAAUGGGGAAACCCAGCAUGAGUCAUGUCAUGUUGCUACUUGCUGAACACAUAGGCAAGCGAGCGGGAACCAUCUGAACUGAAACAUCUUAGUAGGAUGAGGAAGAGAAAGUAAAUAACGAUUGCGAAAGUAGUGGCGAGCGAAAUCGCAACAGCCCAAACCUUUUAAGUUUUUGCCUAUUUAUUUAGGCAAAUAAGUUGAUAGACGAAUACUUAACAAGGGGUUGUGAUAUUACAUAUGACCAAGUCAGAGCAUUUGAUUCGUUCAAAUAAUCUGAUUUGUGAUACCAGGCUAUCAACUGGUAGUAAGGUAAGAAAAUGGCGUGGUUAGCAGAAUAGUUUGAAUGACUAGCCAAAGAACGUGAAAGCCGUGUACGCGAAAACGACGCUGACCUUAUGUAUGUUUUAUCGAGUAGGACGGGGCACGAGAAACCCUGUUUGAAUCUGGCUGGACCACCAGCCAAGGCUAAAUAUAAUAUACGAUCGAUAGUGAACUAGUACAGUGAUGGAAAGGUGAAAAGAACCCCGGGAGGGGAGUGAAAUAGAUCCUGAAAUUUAGUGCCUACAAGGAGUCGGAGCCGGCUUGUCCGGUGACGGCGUGCUUUUUGUAGAACGAUCCAGCGAGUUAAUUUCGUGCGCAAGGUUAAGCCAGUUGGCGGAGCCACAGUGAAAGCGAGCCUGAAUAGGGCGAUUAAGUGUACGGGAUUAGACCCGAAACCGGGUGACCUAACCAUGAGCAGGUUGAAGCCACUGUAACAGGUGGUGGAGGACCGAACCAGGAUACGCAGCAAAGUGUUUGGAUGACUUGUGGUUAGCGGUGAAAUGCCAAUCGAACUCGGAGAUAGCUGGUUCUCCUCGAAAUAGCUUUAGGGCUAGCGUCGUGUUAGUAGCACAUGGGGGUAGAGCUCUGUAAAGGACUGGGGCGGGCAACUGUACCCACCCUUAACAAACUACGAAUACCAUGUGUGUAACCACGGCAGUUAGAACAUCGGUGCUAAGAUCGGUGCUCGAAAGGGAAACAGCCCAGACCAUCAUCUAAGGUCCCUAAAUUAACGUUCAGUGGGAAACAAGGUGAGAUUUCUUAAACAGCUAGGAUGUUGGCUUAGAAGCAGCCAUUCAUUUAAAGAGUGCGUAACAGCUCACUAGUCAAGAGAUCUUGCGUGGAAAAUGUAACGGGGCUAAAACGUUAUACCGAAGAUAUGGAUGUCAGAUUUAUCUGGCGUGGUAGAGGAGCGUUCCUAUCAGCGGUGAAGUCGAAUCGGAAGGUUCGGUGGAGCGGUAGGAAGUGAGAAUGCUGGAAUGAGUAACCAUAAGAGAGGUGAGAAUCCUCUCGGCCGUAAGAGCAAGGUUUCCUGAGCUAUGGUAAUCAUCUCAGGGUUAGUCGGGCCUAAGCCGAGGCGCAGAGCGUAGGCGAUGGACAUCAGGUUAAUAUUCCUGAACCGGUUAAGUUUUGUACACUGUUCACGGGGAAGUAAUCGAAGCGGAUUCAUGGUUUAUCCGUCCAACCGAGCGGGAACGCAAAGGGAGUGAAAGUGAUUCUUCGGAGUCGCGAUUUUGGUGAAAGCCCUGGCUAGAAAAGCAGGUGUACGCGUGGACUUAGCCGCCCGUACCGCAAACCAACACAGGUGCUCGAGUCGAGUAGACUCAGGCUUACGAGCGAACCUUCGCUAAGGAACUCGGCAAUACAGCGACCGUAACUUCGGGAUAAGGUCUGCCCCCACUUCGGUGGAUAUCAGCCGCGUUCACUCAGUGAAUAAUAGGUUAAAGAGUACAUUUUUAAUCACAAAACGAAUUUUCUGAGACACGAGCAAACGAAUUGCUCUUUUGAACGCGAAUCUCUUGUAUCUAACGAUGUGGGGGCCGCAGCAAAAGAGCCCACGGAACUGUUUAUCAAAAACACAGGUCUCUGCUAACACGAAAGUGGAUGUAUAGGGGCUGACUCCUGCCCGGUGCCGGAAGGUUAAGGGGAGUGCUUCACGGUGCAAACUGAAGCCCCGGUGAACGGCGGCGGUAACUAUAACCGUCCUAAGGUAGCGAAAUUCCUUGUCAGGU
rnacentral:rRNA from 1 species